rnacentral:lncRNA from 1 species
UUUUUUUUUUUUUUUCAUUUUGUUUUUGGAGACAGGGUAUCAUGUCACGCAGGUUGGAGUGCAAUGGUGUGAUCAUAGCUCACUGCAGCCUCAAACUCCUGGGCUCAAGCAAUCCUCCCACCUUAGCCUCCAAAUGUGUUGAGAUUGCAGGCAUAAGCCACAAGGCUAGGUUGUUUUUAUUAUCAAUAUUAGGAAUGACUGACACUGAAAUGCACAUUUGACCCUUUGAGCUCUCUGAAAGAAAAAGCAAAGGAUAUGAAAAUUUUGUAAAUGUUGUUUGUUUUGACAAUGGAUUUGAGUGUCAGACUUGAAAAAGGACUAUCUGUGUUCUGUUAUGGCAUGUGUAAGUAUUUAGAUUAUGAAUGUAUAUAUACACAUAUAUUUGAUCUCUUUUUUAUUUUAAUUAAGUGGUAUGUUGUUGAAGAUGAAUGCAUCUGAUAUAUCCAUUUAAGUUUGUGUGGAGUUAAUUCAUCUUUACCAUAUGUUAAUCAAGUAAUAAAGGUACUCAGGUUCAGUGGAUGAAAGUCAGCCAGAACAUAUUGCCAGAACCACUAGAAGCUUAAAACUUUACAACAGCUUGACUAAAGAUAGAUAUACUUUACUUUCUUUUAUAAUUAUUUAAUUCAUAUCAAAGUAAUAAAUGUGCAUGAUUCAAAGUCAAAUGAUACAGACAAACUUAUAACAAGAAGUAAUAAACCCAUACUUUGCAUAUCUUUAUCCUCAACUCAUAUACACCAGAUGGAUCUGUUUCUGACUAUUCAAUAUUUCUAAAGAAUAUGCUUGUUGUUAUAUACUCAUUUAAAUGUUUUUAAAAAUGCUUUUUGUUGUCUUGAUAUGACAGAGGUCUUCCAGGUUCCCUCUUCCUCAGUAUUACAGAAAUAUUAAAAAUCAUCCAUAAUCAUCCUGCACAUGACAACAAUGUUCAUAAUCCUUGAUUUCUUUUAUAUCAUGCAUAGAAUGUUACUACUAGAAAAUAUUUUAGAAUACUCACCCUUUGCUUUACCACUCCAAUUAUUUCUCUUCCUUUGUCUCCUCUAUAUCUGCUUUCUUUGCCCUUACUUUAUAAUUAUCAUGUAAAUUUUGUUCACUUCAGAACAUGACUCAUUGUGAAAUGUUUUCCUAUAAUUGUCCACAUUUAAAAUUCUUUAUGUCAUACAAAGAAGAAUGCUUCAAAUAUUGAAUUCAAGCCUAUUUUCUAGGUUUAUUCUACACCAGAUAUUUUCUAAUAUUUUUAUCAUUACAGCUGGUCACAAUUUUACCCCACACAAUCGCUUUCAUAAUAUUCCACUCAUCUAAUCAAAUUCAGAUUCACCUAUCUCCAGACUACCUAUGCAGAUGUUUUUCAGUUCCCUCCCUUUGUCUUUCUUCUGUGCUUGAUCUACUAUAUUGAAAACAAUUUGAAUAAAAUUGUGUUUCUAUAACAAGAAAGUAGAAUAUAACAAUUAUCUUUCUUGUCAUAUCGUCAACUUUUCCUGGAGUUUACUUUCAAGUAAGUUUUAAGAAAUUGUACUUCGAACAUAACUUUGUAAGUCCUUCAUUGUCUGAAAAUGUCUGUCGUAUUUUUAUAUGCUCUUUGAUAUUUUGGCAUGGAAUGUAAUUCUAAGUUUAAAAAUAAUUUUCUCUGGACACACUGGAGGUAAU